AUUUAUAUAGUUUAAUAAAACAUUACAUUUUCACUGUAAAAAUAAGAACUUUACUCUUUAUAAAUA
rnacentral:tRNA from 1 species